ACGAGCGAGCCAACUGCGGUCCAGGUCUAACCCUAAAGCUGUCUCCAUUCGCCCCUCCCCUACCUCCAGAACUCACCAAGAUGCUGAUGUAUUCCAAGUGGAUUUAGCUGAUGGAGACAGUUAAACUGCAGUGACUGUACGCACCUCACAGCAGCUAUUGCUCAGUGUCAGCAACAGACAAGUGGCUUCCAGUGCAAAUAUGAUGACUCCUCCUGCCCUAAUCACACAAAG
rnacentral:lncRNA from 1 species